rnacentral:lncRNA from 1 species
GAGAUCUGCUGCACAGCCCUGAUCCUAGACACCUCUACCUCCUUCACCCUAACAGGGCACUCAAUGAAGUCCGGAGUAUGAUCCCCACCACAGUUGCAACAUUUUCCAUUCACAGAUUAUUCAAUAUCAUACUUCUCCUGUCUGCAAGCAUUUGACACAUGACCAUAUCCUUUACAAUUUCCACACUGUAAUGGUUUGAACACAGCAUACCUCACAUAUCCAAGCUUCACAUAUUCAGGUAGAGUUACUCAAACAACAAUAAUAUCAACAGGCUUUUCUCCUUCCAUCCAUUUACCAUACGGGUCAGGCGACGUGCACUGACCAAUCCUGGGAUUUUCUGACUAAGUGUGCACUGGGACGCUUUCUCGCAUGGAUUUAAACUCUCUCUAGCCAAUGAUUACACCAUUCAUAUAACCAGGAACCAAUAUCCGAGAUGCCAUCUUUUAGAAGAAAAAGAGCCACGCUGGUUUACAGAGACCUGACUAGAGGCAUGAUAGUGUGUACACCCCUGCCAUCAACUUGGAUCAGAAGUACUGGAAGAACAGAGCCGGUUCCCUCUGCAGCAGAAGUUGUGCCCAGCUGCAGUGAUGCACCUCCUCUACCAACAUAAAAAAAAGUCAGGGCAGUUAAUCCCAUGUAUCCCGGUGGGCCUACAGUGAGAGUGGAGGAGACAAGAUGGCCAUGACUGUCACAGAAGAGCUCAUGACAUCUGGCUGUGAGCUGGAACCUGUCACCUUGAUCCGCCACAGACUCUGGACUGCCACAAAAUGCACAAAAGAACUGCUCGUACACUAAAUGAAUUUGGCAUUUUGAAAAACAGUCCCGAUCUGAUGGUAGACACCAUAUUUGCAGUGCCAGCCUUUCAUGCCUAUGCUCAUGAUGCUGACUACCAGGCCACUGAUGGUACCAGGUAUGUGACUGGUAGUGGGCUUGCUGGCUGAGAACAGAUGGAGAGAUUAUGGUCCUACCUUUGAAAAUGUGGGUAGAUCACAAAAGAGAUGACACCGUCUCAUGGUGUUGACACCCUCACUGAUGCCCUCCUCUACUACGCAGCCAGGGUCAGCGAGAAGCAAGGUAUACAUGUAGAACUGGAAAUCACACCGACAAUAGAACUCUGUCGGCAGAAGGUCCUGAAGGAGGAAACCAAGGCAAAAGAGGAGUUAAUGGUGCUGCUAAACAGCAUUCCAGGUUAGAUUCCAUGUGUUUUACUCAUAAUUUUUGUUUAUAUGUAAUGAUUAUUUUCAAGAGAGCUUGAUAAUGUGAAAGAAUCCUUUUCAUAGCAUCACUUUCAUAUACUUUACAUUAAGACAAAUCCUUCUACGUUGAGUAUUAGAAAGCAGUUUCCAUAACCUGAUAAUGACUUGAUAUAUGAGUGCAUUCACAACAAGCCACCUGCAGACAACUUACAAAAUGCAACAUUGCAUUUGAAGGUUAGUUUUUCUGAUGAAAAUAGUUAUUUGAUGCAUGGCCUACAAUUUCUAACUGGGAAAUCCCUUUUCCAAAAUUGUAAAAUCCCUUUUCCAAAAUUGAUUUAGGUACAUUUUUGUGAAGGGGUAUGAGGGUUGUGAUAUGGGUCAUUUAAUAGUAAAAUCAUUUAAGGGAUCAAUACAGUUCUAAAUUGCUUCCCCAGUAUCUGCAUGAACCAUCAGGCCAAGUGUUUUUGGUUGACCCUGCUGGACAGAAAGAGAAGGAGGAAUCGGAACACACUGCAUUCAAAUUCAGAACUGCCAAAGGGGGUGGAGUUGCAAUCUACUACAGAGACAGCCUGCAGAGUUCUGUCAUGCUAUCCAGGUCUGUGCCCAAACAGUUCGAGCUUCUACUUUUGAAAAUCCACCUUUCCAGAAAUAAGUCUCUUACUGUUGCCGCUUGUUACAGACCCCCCUCAGCCCCCAGCUGCGCCCCGGACACCAUAUGUGAAUUAAUUGCCCCCCAUUUAUCUUCAGAGUUUGUACUGUUAGGUGACCUAAACUGGGAUAUGCUUAACACCCUGGCCGUCCUACAAUCUAAACUAGAUGCCCUCAAUCUCACCCAAAUUAUCAUGGAACCUACCAGGUACAACCCCAAAUCCGUAAACUCGGGCACCCUCAUAGAUAUCAUCCUGACCAACCUGUCCUCUAAAUACACCUCAGCUGUCUUCAACCAGGAUCUCAGCGAUCACUGCCUCAUUGCCUGCGUCCGUAAUGGGUCCGCGGUCAAACGACCACCCCUCAUCGCUGUCAAACGCUCCCUAAAACAUUUCAGCGAACAGGCCUUUCUAAUCAACCUGGCCCGGGUAUCCUGGAAGGAUAUUGACCUCAUCCCGUCAGUAGAGGAUGCCUGGUUAUUCUUUAAAAGUGCUUUCCUCACCAUCUUAAAUAUCAAAUCAAAUUUUCUUUGUCACAUACACAUGGUUAGCAGAUGUUAAUGCGAGUGUAGCAAAAUGCUUGUGCUUCUAGUUCCGACCAUGCAGUAAUAUCUAACAAGUAAUCUAACC